GACGAACGCUGGCGGCGUGCCUAAUACAUGCAAGUAGAACGCUGAAGGAGGAGCUUGCUCUUCUGGAUGAGUUGCGAACGGGUGAGUAACGCGUAGGUAACCUGCCUGGUAGCGGGGGAUAACUAUUGGAAACGAUAGCUAAUACCGCAUAAGAGUAGAUGUUGCAUGACAUUUGCUUAAAAGGUGCAAUUGCAUCACUACCAGAUGGACCUGCGUUGUAUUAGCUAGUUGGUGGGGUAACGGCUCACCAAGGCGACGAUACAUAGCCGACCUGAGAGGGUGAUCGGCCACACUGGGACUGAGACACGGCCCAGACUCCUACGGGAGGCAGCAGUAGGGAAUCUUCGGCAAUGCACGGAAGUCUGACCGAGCAACGCCGCGUGAGUGAAGAAGGUUUUCGGAUCGUAAAGCUCUGUUGUAAGAGAAGAACGAGUGUGAGAGUGGAAAGUUCACACUGUGACGGUAUCUUACCAGAAAGGGACGGCUAACUACGUG
rnacentral:rRNA from 1 species